GCGCUGCCAAAAGUACUAUGAAGCUGGUGCUAGAUUCGCCAAAUGGCGUGCCGUGCUCAAGAUCGGUCCCACCGAACCCUCGCAAUUGUCCAUCAACGAGAAUGCUUAUGGAUUGGCUCGAUAUGCUGCUAUCUGCCAGGAGAAUGGUCUUGUUCCCAUUGUUGAGCCUGAGAUUCUUGUUGAUGGUACUCACAGCAUUGACAAAUGCGCUGAGGUGACCGAGCGGGUUCUUGCUGCAUGCUACAAGGCCCUCAACGAUCACCACGUCCUCCUCGAAGGAACUCUAUUGAAGCCUAACAUGGUUACCCCUGGAUCUGAAGCUGCCAAGGUUGCUCCAGAAGUGGUUGCUGAGUACACCGUCCGGGCUCUAGAACGUACAGUCCCUGCUGCGGUUCCUGCCAUCGUUUUCUUGUCAGGCGGGCAGAGCGAGGAGGAGGCAACCCUCAACCUCAAUGCCAUGAA
rnacentral:misc_RNA from 1 species